UACGUAGGGGGCAAGCGUUAUCCGGAUUUACUGGGUGUAAAGGGAGCGUAGACGGCAACACAAGUCUGAAGUGAAAUGCCGGGGCUUAACCCCGGAACUGCUUUGGAAACUGUGCAGCUAGAGUGUUGGAGAGGCAGGCGGAAUUCCGUGUGUAGCGGUGAAAUGCGUAGAUAUACGGAGGAACACCAGUGGCGAAGGCGGCUUGCUGGACGAUGACUGACGUUGAGGCUCGAAAGCGUGGGGAUCAA
rnacentral:rRNA from 1 species